rnacentral:rRNA from 1 species
CAGCAGCCGCGGUAAUACGAAGGGGGCUAGCGUUGUUCGGAAUCACUGGGCGUAAAGCGCACGUAGGCGGACACUUAAGUCAGAGGUGAAAUCCCAAGGCUCAACCUUGGAACUGCCUUUGAUACUGGGUGUCUUGAGUUCGGGAGAGGUGAGUGGAACUGCGAGUGUAGAGGUGAAAUUCGUAGAUAUUCGCAAGAACACCAGUGGCGAAGGCGGCUCACUGGCCCGAUACUGACGCUGAGGUGCGAAAGCGUGGGGAGCAAACAGGAUUAGAUACCCGCGUAGUCCCUGUCUCUUAUAC